UACAGAGGUCUCAAGCGUUGUUCGGAUUCAUUGGGCGUAAAGGGUGUGUAGGUGGCGCGCUAAGUCGGGUGUGAAAUCUCGGAGCUUAACUCCGAAACUGCAUUCGAUACUGGCGUGCUUGAGGACUGGAGAGGAGACUGGAAUUCAUGGUGUAGCAGUGAAAUGCGUAGAGAUCAUGAGGAAGACCAGUGGCGAAGGCGGGUCUCUGGACAGUUCCUGACACUGAGACACGAAGGUCAGGGGAGCGAACGGG
rnacentral:rRNA from 1 species